rnacentral:lncRNA from 1 species
GGAAGGUGCCUCAGUGGAUGGAUGGGAUUUGGUCUUUGGGUUGAGUGUCUGGCCACGCUUGCUCUCGGGACGUACCCUCCCUGCGGCAGCUUGGAGGUGUUCAGGUCGGCACCGAGCAGCAGGAGGAUGAGCACGCCUGAGGCCUGGAUCGGCGUACGCGAGCCAUCACUACCUCCUCCGCACCCUCAGAAAGAGACCACAGUCCAUGACCAUAUGACAGUGUAUUCCAGUUAAGAGUAAACCCAAAUGGAGCCCAAGCCCGAUGCGACACCCAAGAGUGUGUUGGAAAACCCCCACUUUCUUCCCGGAGCUGUACUGGGCGCCGGACUCCAGCGGGAUUUCCGGCUCCUCGGGCUGGAGGUGUACGCACCGCAUUAAAAGAAAUGAAGUCUGCUGUCACGCCAGUUGUUGGCACCGGGAGCUGGCCCGGAGGGAUGGAGGAAGGUGUGAUUUUACCGUCCGUUUAUUUCUCAGUGCCAGUGCCUGCCUGAACUGCAGUGUGAUUUCCCAAACACCUGAUGCUUAUGCAUCGGGGCUCCUUAUGCUGCCUGUAAUGGUCCUAAGUUAUGAGCACUCAUGGCAUGGGGGCUGCUCUAAUUGUAAUACUUUACUUCUGGCAGCCUUCAACUCCCACCAGAUUAGUAGCUCCUAUAAUGCUUGUGACUGCCAAAUUAGGCCAUCUGUAAACACUAAAACUUGCAAGCUCUUACCAAAUUCAUGGCAGUCAUGCCUGGGAAAUAAGUUGCAUCUUUUCAGCUGCCUGCCGGGGAAAUGCUCAGAUGGCCGGCACGCGCCUCGUCCCCGCCUGGGGCGUCCUGCGCCGUCCCAGGCAGCGCCGUGUCUGCCGGCCGCUCUGCUCCUUGGUGCUACGGCCUUGGCACACCACCGGACACUUGGGCCUAGCCUUUCUGUAAACGUGUUUUGGCAAAUGCUGUAAAGAAGUUGUUUGACAACCCAGUCGUUUGAACCCGAAAGGCUGAAGCAGAAGUGACAGAGUAGCUUCACCACUCUAUUACUGCCGGCUUAUUAUGUUUGUUCAACAUACGUUGUUAUUGAAUUAAAAUGAUAAUUUUUAAUUACCACGUGCCAGCACGUGCAAGGUGAAGAAGGGUGUGCCGGGUGGCGCAGCAAGGGUGCCAGGCUG